rnacentral:rRNA from 1 species
GUGGGGAAUCUUCCACAAUGGACGAAAGUCUGAUGGAGCAACGCCGCGUGAGUGAAGAAGGGUUUCGGCUCGUAAAGCUCUGUUGUCGGGGACGAAUGUGCAGUAUUUGAAUAAAGUACUGCAAUGACGGUACCUGACGAGGAAGCCACGGCUAACUACGUGCCAGCAGCCGCGGUAAUACGUAGGUGGCAAGCGUUGUCCGGAAUUAUUGGGCGUAAAGGGAGCGCAGGCGGGAAGGUAAGUCGGUCUUAAAAGUGCGGGGCUCAACCCCGUGAUGGGAUCGAAACUAUCUUUCUGGAGUGCAGGAGAGGAAAGUGGAAUUCCUAGUGUAGCGGUGAAAUGCGUAGAUAUUAGGAGGAACACCAGUGGCUAAGGCGACUUUCUGGACUGUAACUGACGCUGAGGCUCGAAAGCCAGGGGAGCGAACGGGAUUAGAUACCCGAGUAGUCC